AGAAUCAACGCUGGCGGCGUGCCUAACACAUGCAAGUCGAACGAGAAAGUGGAGCAAUCCAUGAGUAAAGUGGCGACCGGGUGAGUAACACGUGACUAACCUACCUUCGAGUGGGGGAUAACAUCGGGAAACCGAUGCUAAUACCGCAUAACAUCGCAAGAUCAAAGCAGCAAUGCGCUGGAAGAGGGGGUCGCGGCUGAUUAGCUAGUUGGCGGGGUAACGGCCCACCAAGGCGAAGAUCGGUAGCCGGCCUGAGAGGGCGCACGGCCACACUGGAACUGAAACACGGUCCAGACUCCUACGGGAGGCAGCAGUGGGGAAUUUUGCGCAAUGGGGGAAACCCUGACGCAGCAACGCCGCGUGGAGGAUGAAGCCCCUUGGGGCGUAAACUCUUUUCGACCAAGACGAUAAUGACGGUACUGGUGGAAGAAGCACCGGCUAACUCUGCGCCAGCAGCCGC
rnacentral:rRNA from 1 species